UAUCCGAACAUAUCAGCAGGAGCCAUUUUAUUCCGCGAAUGAAACUUCCGAUUUCCUAAAAAAACACAAGACAUUCUCCUCGACAACAAUUGCAGUGUGUCGUUGAAUCGAAAUGGUAAACCUUUUCAUACGGCAAUGCGAAGGAAUUGGGUCUGUCUCCAUGGCUUAGUGUGAUGUAGCAGUUGGACCCAGGCAGAAGUCUCUCUUCUCCAUCAGCCCUUCUUCCAGUGGUGAGAUCGUGACAUCACACCGGGACGGUAACUGCCCCUGCUGGUUACUAGGAAGCCCCCUGAUUUCCCCCCCCCCC